rnacentral:rRNA from 1 species
UUGGAAUUAGGCCUGCCCAAUGAGAGUUUCAAUGGCCGCGGUAUUUUGACCGUGCGAAGGUAGCGUAAUCAGUAGUCUUUUAAUUGAAGACUUGUAUGAAUGGUUUGACGAGAAAAGUACUGUCUCAUUUAUUUUUUUAGAAUUUUAAAUUUAAGUGAAAAUGCUUGAAUUUAUUUAGGGGACGAGAAGACCCUAUAGAGUUUUAUAAUUAAGUUUUAUUUAUUUUUAAGAUGUUUAUUUGAGUAAUGACUUAUUUAUUUUGUUGGGGUGACAGGAAAAUUUAAGAAACUUAUCUUUGUUUUUUCUACUUAUGUGUAUGUUCAUUGAUCCAUUUUUUAUGAAUUAAGAUUAAAUUACCUUAGGGAUAACAGCGUUAUCUUUUCUUAGAGUUCUAAUCGAAGAAAAGGAUUGCGACCUCGAUGUUGGACUAAAAUAAUGGUAAGGCGCAGUAGUUUUAUACAUGGGUCUGUUCGACCCUUAAUAUUUUUACAUGGGUCUGUUCGACCCUUAAUAUUUUAAGGCGCAGUAGUUUUAUACAUGGGUCUGUUCGACCCUUAAUAUUUUUACAUGGGUCUGUUCGACCCUUAAUAUUUU